AUGGAAAGUGUGAUUGAAGAAGAUAUUGUGAUUGUAGGAGCUGGAAUUGCUGGCCUCACAACCUCCUUGGGACUACACAGAUUGGGAAUAAAAAGUUUGGUAUUAGAAAGUUCAUAUAGUUUAAGAGCGAGUGGAUUUGCACUAACAACAUGGAGAAAUGCUUGGAAGGCUUUGGAUGCUGUCGGUGUUGGACACAUCCUACGCCACCAACAUAUACAGCUUCACGGGUAA